rnacentral:rRNA from 1 species
CAAUAGCGUAUAUUAAAGUUGUUGCAGUUAAAAAGCUCGUAGUUGGAUUUCUGGUUGAAGCGACCGGUCGGGCGUUGAUUCGUCUGCACUGGAGUCGGUUUUGGCCAUCCUCUAGGAAAGUGCGUCUGGUAUUAAGUUAUCGGGCGUAUGAUCCUGGUCUUUUACUGUGAAAAAAUUAGAGUGUUUAAAGCAGGCCUUCGCCUUGAAUACAAUAGCAUGGAAUAAUAAGAUAGGACUUUGGUCUAUUUUGUUGGUUUGCAGACCGAAGUAAUGAUUAAUAGGGAUAGUUGGGGGUAUUUAUAUUCCGAUGUCAGAGGUGAAAUUCUUAGAUUUUCGGAAGAUAAACUUAUGCGAAAGCAUUUACCAAGGAUGUUUUCAUUAA